rnacentral:rRNA from 1 species
GAUGAACGCUGGCGGCGUGCCUAAUACAUGCAAGUCGAGCGAACGGACGAGAAGCUUGCUUCUCUGAUGUUAGCGGCGGACGGGUGAGUAACACGUGGAUAACCUACCUAUAAGACUGGGAUAACUUCGGGAAACCGGAGCUAAUACCGGAUAAUAUUUUGAGCCGCAUGGUUCAAAAGUGAAAGACGGUCUUGCUGUCACUUAUAGAUGGAUCCGCGCUGCAUUAGCUAGUUGGUAAGGUAACGGCUUACCAAGGCAACGAUGCAUAGCCGACCUGAGAGGGUGAUCGGCCACACUGGAACUGAGACACGGUCCAGACUCCUACGGGAGGCAGCAGUAGGGAAUCUUCCGCAAUGGGCGAAAGCCUGACGGAGCAACGCCGCGUGAGUGAUGAAGGUCUUCGGAUCGUAAAACUCUGUUAUUAGGGAAGAACAUAUGUGUAAGUAACUGUGCACAUCUUGACGGUACCUAAUCAGAAAGCCACGGCUAACUACGUGCCAGCAGCCGCGGUAAUACGUAGGUGGCAAGCGUUAUCCGGAAUUAUUGGGCGUAAAGCGCGCGUAGGCGGUUUUUUAAGUCUGAUGUGAAAGCCCACGGCUCAACCGUGGAGGGUCAUUGGAAACUGGAAAACUUGAGUGCAGAAGAGGAAAGUGGAAUUCCAUGUGUAGCGGUGAAAUGCGCAGAGAUAUGGAGGAACACCAGUGGCGAAGGCGACUUUCUGGUCUGUAACUGACGCUGAUGUGCGAAAGCGUGGGGAUCAAACAGGAUUAGAUACCCUGGUAGUCCACGCCGUAAACGAUGAGUGCUAAGUGUUAGGGGGUUUCCGCCCCUUAGUGCUGCAGCUAACGCAUUAAGCACUCCGCCUGGGGAGUACGACCGCAAGGUUGAAACUCAAAGGAAUUGACGGGGACCCGCACAAGCGGUGGAGCAUGUGGUUUAAUUCGAAGCAACGCGAAGAACCUUACCAAAUCUUGACAUCCUUUGACAACUCUAGAGAUAGAGCUUUCCCCUUCGGGGGACAAAGUGACAGGUGGUGCAUGGUUGUCGUCAGCUCGUGUCGUGAGAUGUUGGGUUAAGUCCCGCAACGAGCGCAACCCUUAAGCUUAGUUGCCAUCAUUAAGUUGGGCACUCUAAGUUGACUGCCGGUGACAAACCGGAGGAAGGUGGGGAUGACGUCAAAUCAUCAUGCCCCUUAUGAUUUGGGCUACACACGUGCUACAAUGGACAAUACAAAGGGCAGCGAAACCGCGAGGUCAAGCAAAUCCCAUAAAGUUGUUCUCAGUUCGGAUUGUAGUCUGCAACUCGACUACAUGAAGCUGGAAUCGCUAGUAAUCGUAGAUCAGCAUGCUACGGUGAAUACGUUCCCGGGUCU